AAUAUUUUAGUUGGAUAACUGAGGUAAUUCUUGAGCUMAUACACGCUAUUUAUACCACAUUAGUGGUGCGUUUAUUUGAUUAAACCAUUUUUAUAUUGGUUGACUCAAAAUAUCCUCGCUGAUUUUGUUACUAAAACAUACCGUAUGUGUAUCUGGUUUAUCAACUUUCGAUGGUAGGGUAUUGGCCUACCAUGGUUGUGACGGAUAACGGAGAAUUAGGGUUCGACUCCGGAGAGGGAGCCUGAGAAACGGCUACCACAUCCAAGGAAGGCAGCAGGCGCGAAAAUUACCCAAUUUUAGUUAAAAGAGGUAGUGACGAAAAAUGACAACCAAAUAUUAUUAUUAAUAUUUGGAUUGAAAAUCUUCAAGUUUAAAUAACUUGUUGGUAAAGGAAAGGGCAAGUCUGGUGCCAGCAGC
rnacentral:rRNA from 1 species